rnacentral:lncRNA from 1 species
ACAACCAGGAAUUCUUUGUAUGAACGUGUGUUGUGAAUAUCUCGUUUACGAAUGGAAAAAAUAGAACAAACUCGAAAUCAAAAACAAAAUAAUCAAAUCAAAAACAAAAUAAUCAAAUAAAUAACACCAAAAAUUUACAUGGGGCAGCAACAACUAACUUUCACUGUGUCAAUAAUGAGUACAACUAAUAACCUUGCCAAGCCUCUAGGAUUAAGACUUGACAAAAGAACAAGAACAAGAACAAGAAAUACUCUUUAUC